UACGGAGGAUGCGAGCGUUAUCCGGAUUUAUUGGGUUUAAAGGGUGCGUAGGCGGGCUUUUAAGUCAGCGGUAAAAAUUCGGGGCUCAACCCCGUCCGGUCGUUGAAACUGGGGGCCUUGAGUGGGCGAGAAGAAGGCGGAAUGCGUGGUGUAGCGGUGAAAUGCAUAGAUAUCACGCAGAACCCCGAUUGCGAAGGCAGCCUUCCGGCGCCCUACUGACGCUGAGGCACGAAAGUGCGGGGAUCGAACAGG
rnacentral:rRNA from 1 species